rnacentral:ncRNA from 1 species
AACAAUCAUGAAAGAAAUAUGCUGUUCCCACCGCAUAGUCUGAUCUUUGAUUGAUGGCUGGUUUAUUUCUAUAAAUUACUGUUAUUUUCUAUAAUUAAAGUCAUUUAAAUACGAGAUCUGUAUACCUCAGCAUUCAGCUUAGGUCCAGGACCGUGCAGGCCUUAAUGACCGCGCUUAAAGUAAGCUGUCACCAUGUACACUGGUUCAGUAAGGCUAUAUGACAAGUGUUAUGCUCUUGACUGAGUGUCGGCGGCGGCCGGAACGUUUACUUUGAAAAAAUUAGAGUGUUCAAAGCAGGCUCUCGAGCCUGGAUAAUGGUGCAUGGAAUAAUGGAAUAGGACCUCGGUUCUAUUUUGUUGGUUUUCGGAGCGCGAGGUAAUGAUUAAGAGGGACAGACGGGGGCAUUCGUACUGUGCCGUUAGAGGUGAAAUUCUUGGAUCGGCGCAAGACGAACGACUGCGAAAGCAUUUGCCAAGAAUGUUUUCUUUAAUCAAGAGCGAAAGUCAGAGGUUCGAAGACGAUCAGAUACCGUCCUAGUUCUGACUAUAAACGAUGCCAACUAGCGAUCGGGGGGCGUUACAUUGACGACCCCUCCGGCAGCUUACGGGAAACCAAAGUCUUUGGGUUCCGGGGGAAGUAUGGUUGCAAAGCUGAAACUUAAAGGAAUUGACGGAAGGGCACCACCAGGAGUGGAGCCUGCGGCUUAAUUUGACUCAACACGGGAAAUCUCACCCGGCCCGGACACAGUGAGGAUUGACAGAUUGAGAGCUCUUUCUUGAUUCUGUGGGUGGUGGUGCAUGGCCGUUCUUAGUUGG